UAACUGUAUAAAAGAAAAGCUCCACAUUCAGAGCCACUCUACAACAACCUCCUUGACCAUCUACGAGACAAUCUGCUGAAGUUGUGAAGACUUGAAGUGUGAUCACUGUAACCAUGCUGAAGGUAGUAUUUAUACUUGGAUGCCUCCUGAUCUUUGCUCUGGCUCAGCCUUCGGAUAUGGAGCACAAACGACUUGCUCGGUCACACUCUCGCUCUCACCACCGCUCACAUUCCAAGGUGCAUAACACCCGACCACCUAUGGUGACCUUCCCGUCUACAAUGAGUAUCCCACAGUGGGUCAAGGACUUACUUGCCGCCCUUCAACAAACCACUACUGCAGCACCUGCUACUACUACAAAAUAAAAUCUGGAAUAUAACCAGAGAUAAAAAAAUUAACGAAUUUUGACAUCUGCUUUGUUUUGUGUCAGCUUUUCAC